UCCGCGUGGGUGAAGAAGGCCUUCGGGUUGUAAAGCCCUUUUGUUGGGAAAGAAAUCCAGCUGGCUAAUACCCGGUUGGGAUGACGGUACCCAAAGAAUAAGCACCGGCUAACUUCGUGCCAGCAGCCGCGGUAAUACGAAGGGUGCAAGCGUUACUCGGAAUUACUGGGCGUAAAGCGUGCGUAGGUGGUCGUUUAAGUCCGUUGUGAAAGCCCUGGGCUCAACCUGGGAACUGCAGUGGAUACUGGGCGACUAGAAUGUGGUAGAGGGUAGCGGAAUUCCUGGUGUAGCAGUGAAAUGCGUANAGAUCAGGAGGAACAUCCAUGGCGAANGCAGCUACCUGGACCAACAUUGACACUGAGGCACGAAAGCGUGGGGAGCAAACAGGAUUAGAUACCCUGGUAGUCCACGCCCUAAACGAUGCGAACUGGAUGUUGGGUGCAAUUUGGCACGCAGUAUCGAAGCUNACGCGUUAAGUUCGCCGCCUGGGGAGUACGGUCGCAAGACUGAAACUCAAAGGAAUUGACGGGGGCCCGCACAAGCGGUGGAGUAUGUGGUUUAAUUCGAUGCACGCG
rnacentral:rRNA from 1 species